rnacentral:rRNA from 1 species
GAAUGUUGGGUUAGUCCCGCAACGAGCGCACCCUCGCCUUUAGUUGCCAGCAUGUUUGGGUGGGCACUCUAAAGGAACUGCCGGUGACAAGCCGGAGGAAGGUGGGGAUGACGUCAAGUCCUCAUGGCCCUUAUGUCCUGGGCUACACACGUGCUACAAUGGCGGUGACAGUGGGACGCCAGGCAGCGAUGCCGAGCUGAUCUCCAAAAGCCGUCUCAGUUCGGAUUGCACUCUGCAACUCGGGUGCAUGAAGGUGGAAUCGCUAGUAAUCGUGGAUCAGCAUGCCACGGUGAAUACGUUCCCGGGCCUUGUACCACCG